CGAGCCGGGCGGGCGGCCGCGUGGAGGUCCUUGUGGACCUUCCCGAGGAACGUCCGGGCUCCACAGGGCAGGGUGGUGGCUAACGGCCACCCGGGGUGACCCGCGGGACAGUGCCACAGAAAACAGACCGCCGAGAACUCCGGUUCCCGGUAAGGGUGAAACGGUGGUGUAAGAGACCACCAGCGCCUGAGGUGACUCAGGCGGCUAGGUAAACCCCACCCGGAGCAAGGUCAAGAGGGAGCACCUCGGUGCUCCUGCGCGGACGUUCGAGGGCUGCUCGCCCGAGUCCGCGGGUAGACCGCACGAGGCCGGCGGCAACGCCGGCCCUAGAUGGAUGGCCGUCGCCGCGACGUCCGCGAGGACCCGCGGUACAAAACCCGGCGUACAGCCUGACUCGUCUG
rfam:Streptomyces sp. M41(2017) strain M41 M41_contig1, whole genome shotgun sequence.